AGGAUGAACGCUGGCGGCGUGCCUAAUACAUGCAAGUCGAGCGGUAAGGCCACUUCGGUGGUACACGAGCGGCGGACGGCUGAGUAACACGUAGGAACGUACCCCAAAGUGAGGCAUAAGCACCAGAAAUGGUGUCUAAUACCGCAUGUGAUCUUCGGAUUAAAGCUUCGGCGCUUUGGGAACGGCCUGCGCAUGAUUAGCUUGUUGGUGAGGUAAUAGCUCACCAAGGCGACGAUCAUUAGCUGGUCUGAGAGGAUGACCAGCCAGACUGGGACUGAGAACGGCCCAGACUCCUACGGGAGGCAGCAGUAGGGAAUUUUCCACAAUGGGCGAAAGCCUGAUGGAGCAACGCCGCGUGCAGGAUGAAUGCCUUCGGGUUGUAAACUGCUUUUAUAUGUGACGAUUAUGACGGUAGCAUAUGAAUAAGGAUCGGCUAACUCCGUGCCAGCAGCCGC
rnacentral:rRNA from 1 species